rnacentral:snRNA from 1 species
GUGCUCGCUUUGGCAGCACAUAUACUAAAAUUGGAAAGAUACAGAGAAGACAGGCGUUUCCAUGCCAGAUGAAAGAUCAAUCUAAGAAGAAAAUUUAGCUCUG